CUACGGGUGGCACCAGUGAGGAAUAUUGCACAAUGGGGGGAACCCUGAUGCAGCAACGCCGCGUGGAGGAUGACGCAUUUCGGUGUGUAAACUCCCUUUAUAUGUCAAGAAAAUGACGGUAGCAUAUGAAUAAGCACCGGCUAACUCCGUGCCAGCAGCCGCGGUAAUACGGAGGGUGCAAGCGUUACUCGGAAUCACUGGGCGUAAAGGACGCGUAGGCGGGUUGGAAAGUCAGGUGUGAAAUCCUACAGCUUAACUGUAGAACUGCACUUGAAACUUCUAAUCUAGAGUAUGGGAGGGGGAGAUGGAAUUAGUGGUGUAGGGGUAAAAUCCGUAGAUAUCACUAGGAAUACCUAAAGCGAAGGCGAUCUCCUGGAACAUUACUGACGCUAAGGCGUGAAAGCGUGGGGAGCAAACAGGAUUAGAUACCCUUGUAGUC
rnacentral:rRNA from 1 species